rnacentral:lncRNA from 1 species
CUGAAGAAUCAAUUCAGUACGAUGCUCAUAGGAAUUUACUAUAAUGCUUAUCGGAAUUCACUACAAUGUUCACCAAUCCACACGAAACAACACAAAUCCCUUCCGCUAAAUUUGAUUUAAUCAAUUGUUUUUAUAAACCCUAAACCAUGUAUCCGCAUCACAUCUUUGGAGGUCGUAAUCAUCAGUUCUAAAUCGCUCGCGAAAAUUGGGACGGGAACGUAGUAAAGCAC